rnacentral:rRNA from 1 species
CCACAGAGUCUGACGGUACCACUCGAGGAAGCUCCGGCUAACUAGUUGCCAGCAUACGCGGUAAUACGUAGGGGGCUAGCGUUGUUCGGAAUCACUGGGCGUAAAGGGAGUGUAUGCGGACCUGGUAAGUUAGGGAGUUAAAUGUACUGGCUCAAUCCGUGAUCUGCUUAUAAUACUGUCGGUCUUGACGUAUGGGAGAGGGAGAUGGAAUUCCAGCACUACCGGUGGAAUGAGUAGAUAUCUGGAAGAACACCAGUUGCGAAGGCGAUCUCCUGGACCAAUACUGACGCUGAUGCUCGCAAGCUGGGGGAGCGAACAGGAUCAGAUACCCUGCUAGUCCCAGCCGUAAACGAUGGACACUAGUUGCCGGAGGAGUCAAUCCCUUCGGUGACGAAGCUAACGCAUUAAGUGUCCCGCCUGGGGAGUACGCUCGCAAGGGUGACACUCAAAGGAAUAGACGGGGGCCCGCACAAGCGGUGGAGCAUGUGCUUUAAUUCGAUGCAACGCGAAGAACACUUACCUGGGUUUGACAUGCGGGAUGAAAGUUUCCAGAGAUGGAAGCCUAUCCUUCGGGAACACCCCACACAGGUGCUGCAUGUUUGUCGUCUAGCUCGUGUCGUGAGAUGUUGGGUUAAGUCUCGCUACGAGCGCAACCCCUGCCCUUAGUUGCCAUCAGGUUAAGCUGGGUACUCUAAGGGGACAGCUUGGUAUAACCAGGAGGAAGGUGGGGAUGACGUCAAAUCAUCAUGGCUCUUACGUCCAGGGCUAGACACGUGCUACAAUGGCAGGUACAGUGGGAUG